AGCACUGUGUGAACGGUGUAAUCAUACGUAAGUCCGACGUGCUGGAUUGCAGAGUUUUUCUGCAGAUCCCUGAACAAUCAGGGGAAGGCACUGCCCGAAAAACCGGGCUCAGGGAUUAC
rnacentral:ncRNA from 1 species